AACAAUAGGUGCCUUGGACCAAGCCAUGAAUAAUUCUAGCCUUUCAACAUAUUGCUUCAGGAUCAUGAAAGGGAGGGGCGUGAUAUAAUUGGCUGUUGAGCUCAACAUAUCAUCAACCUCUUGCCAGAAUCACAGACUACAACUUUUAACGCAGGCAUUUAGCAAAAAUAAAUAUGUGUACAAAAUUGUAUUUCACAAAAGUAAAUUCAUGGUCACAUUCUCUCUUUCUCUUUUUACUUGCAAUCUCCUCCCCCGGUGUGUUUCCUAUUGUAUGAACAUAAAGAUUAAAGGUGCCGUACAAGAACAAGUCAGCAAGCAUCUCUGAGAGAAUUAUUUUCACCGUAUCUAAAUGUCUGGAUUUACCGAACCAUCACAACCGCUCAUGACAGUGAAGAAGGAGAUAAAAGAAGAAGAAUUUGAUGAUUUCCUACAAGAGUAUUUGUCUGCAAUUCAGACAGUGGAAGAAAAGCCUGGAAUGUAAUGUGAAAUCAAGACUGAAAUGUACACGUCACCAACCAUGAAAGAAGAAAAUAAUUCACCAAUGGAAAAUACAGAUGAAGAAGAAUUUGAUUUAAGUGAAUAUGGUCACUAUGUCGCUUCUCCUACAGGAGACAUUCAAAGGAUCCAAUCUAAUAUGAAAGGGAACACUGAGGAAAAAAGAAACAAAGACAGAUGUCACAAUCAGUCAAAUCAAUCACACCUAACCGUACAUAUGAUGAAACAUACUGGAGAAAAGCCAGUUCAGUGUUCUCAGUGUGGAAAGACCAUUAAUUACAUAUAUAGCCUCAAGGAACACCAGAGGAUCCAUACUGGGGAAAGGCCUUAUCAGUGUUCUCAGUGUGGAAAAACCUUUAGCGAAAUGGCUGAUCUUAAGACACACCAGAAGGUCCAUACUGGGGAAAGGCCUUAUCAGUGUUCUCAGUGUGGAAAGACUUUUAGCAAAAUGUCUUAUCUCAAAAGUCACCAAAAAAUCCAUGCAGGGGCAAAGCCACAUCAAUGUUCUCAGUGUGGAAAGGCCUUUGGAGAAAUGUCUCAUCUCAAGAGACACCAGAGGAUCCAUACUGGAGAAAAGCCACAUCAGUGUUCUCAGUGUGGAAAGGCCUUUAACCAAAUGUCUCAUCUCAAGGGACACCAGAAGAUCCAUACUGGGGUAAGGCCUUAUCAGUGUUCUCAUUGUGGAAAGACCUUUAGCCAAAUGUCUCAACUAAGGACACAUCAGAGGAUCCAUACUGGAGAAAAGCCACAUCAGUGUUCUCAGUGUGGAAAGGCCUUUAGUCCAACUGUGUGAUCUCAAGAGGCACCAGAAGAUCCAUACUGGAGAAAAGCCACAUCAGUGUUCUCAGUGUGGAAAGGCCUUUAGUCGAAUGUCAGAUCUCAAGAUACACCAGGGGAUCAAUACUGGGGCAAAGCCACAUCAGUGUUCUCAGUGUGGAAAGGCCUUUAGUCAAAUGUCUAGUCUCAAGAGACACCAGAGGAUCCAUUCAAAGGAUGUGCUGCCUUGCUAGUACGUGGUGGAGUAUCACUUACUGAAAUAUAUUUGAUUUGAAAAAAAUUGAAGUGAGUGUUUUUCUCAAGUACAUGAUGAAGUAUUAUUUCUUCAUAUUUGAAGUGAGUGUUUUUUUUCUCCAAGUAUGUGUAUGUGAGGGUUGGGGUGGGGGUUGUGUGUGUAUCUGGGUGUAAAGUAUACAAUCGCACGCAGUUAGUGCUCGGACAAGGAAAAGUAGUGUUUGUAAGCUUCCUAGAUAUAUGCCCUGAACAGCGCCUCAUAUGAAGAUUGUCUACAGCUCAAAGAUGUGUUGAGUGUCAGAGAUGGGGGAAGAAAGAAAUAAGACAGGGGGAGGGGGGAGGGAACAUAGCAUUGUCAUUGAAAAGGGUAGACACAGACAAACAUGGCUACCUCAAUAAAACAGAUUCUGCACUCACUGUAGUAACAGGGUAAUGGAGUUUUAGUUACUUUUCCUGACAGAAUGUAAUAAACAAAGCAGGGGAUACUACUUCUCAAGAAUAAAAUAAUUUUUUUACAAAAAUAAAAAGAGAAGAAAAAUAAUCAUUCCUCCUGGGUGAAACGAUGCGUACAUCUAACCUCCCAGCAUCUACACUCCAGCCACAUAUUGAGACAGAAUACCACAUGACUGUCAAUGAUAAAUAAAAUAUUAACAUAAUAAUAUUAAAAACACUAUUUUACACACUAAAAAUAUCUUUCCUUCACAUUUAGAAGACUGAUAGAUCAGAAUUGAAUAGAUGAAGAGCUGUAGGUGUAGCUAAAAUCUCAAAACACAUCAGGAAAUACACACUGUAGACAAACCAUCCUUUGUUCUGACCAUACACAGCAAAUAUCAGGUCUUUGGUUCAUUAAUGUUGAUGCUUUUGUUAGCCAUGGAAGCAGAACAUUUUAAGGUUGAUGUUGACCCUGAGGGUAAAAGUAGUUGAAAGUAGGUUUUUGUAAGGGGUAUGUUUACAUUUGAUUUAAAUAAAAAAAUAUUUUACUACAUUACCUCAUGUUAUUAUUGCUACUGUCUUCUAGAACAUGAUCAUAUAUGCCACUUUUGAUUCCAUGUUUUUAGUGAGGUGAAAUAUUCAAAGCAUUGAAGCAUGUCAAACUACCUAAAAGAGUCUAACAGGCCUUGGUCUCCCAAGUGUUAAAGGUACAGGUUUGUAUUCCAACCUUGUGUGAUAACCUUAGGGCUACUCCUCAUAAGGAUUGUAGUUCUUUAGCUUGCAGCCAUGUUAUGUGUGGGUUGUAGCUGGCAUGAAAAGAACUACUAAAGUUAGUCUGUCAUUUUUCCUUUUUCUAAUUUAGCCUCCUAAAAACAACACUUUCAUACAUCUUAUUGUCAGAAUUCUGAUGCCAAAAAAUAAUAAUAGGCUAAUGACAAUUAUGAUAUUUAAGUUAAGUACUAGUAGACGUGCAAGUUAGGAAGGGAAGUGCUCUAUGAAGAGUUGGGUUUUCAAGAGCUUCUUGAAGGUAGAGAGGGACGCCCCACUACAAAUGAGAAUAGUCUAGAUUGCCGCACUAAGUGUGAAUGGGGGCACUGGUGUUGGUGAUGGGUGGGGACCCAGUCUGCCCUGCUGAGUUGAUUGGGGUUGGGAGGUCAAACCUGUUAAAAUUGGUUCAGCUUGUUCGCACAUUCCAGAAUCCCCUUAACGGCAGUGCUUGACUGUUUGUAGCCAGUUAUCUUUCUAAC